UACGGGGGGGGCAAGCGUUGUCCGGAAUUAUUGGGCGUAAAGAGCUCGUAGGCGGUUUGUUGCGUCGGCUGUGAAAACCUGAGGCUCAACCUCAGGCCUGCAGUCGAUACGAGCAGACUAGAGUGUUGCAGGGGAGACUGGAAUUCCUGGUGUAGCGGUGAAAUGCGCAGAUAUCAGGAGGAACACCGGUGGCGAAGGCGGGUCUCUGGGCAACAACUGACGCUGAGGAGCGAAAGCGUGGGGAGCGAACAGG
rnacentral:rRNA from 1 species